rnacentral:rRNA from 1 species
ACGGGAGGCAGCAGUGGGGAAUAUUGGGCAAUGGGCGAGAGCCUGACCUAGCGACGCCGCGUGAGGGAAGAAGGUCUUCGGAUUGUAAACCUCUUUCAGCAGGGAAGAUAAUGACGGUACCUGCAGAAGAAGCCACGGCUAACUACGUGCCAGCAGCCGCGGUAAUACGUAGGUGGCAAGCGUUAUCCGGAUUUAUUGGGUGUAAAGGGUGUGUAGGCGGGACUGCAAGUCAGAAGUGAAAAUCAUGGGCUCAACCCAUGACCUGCUUUUGAAACUGUGGUUCUUGAGAGUGGGAGAGGUAAACGGAAUUCCUGGUGUAGCGGUGAAAUGCGUAGAUAUCAGGAGGAACACCGGUGGCGAAGGCGGUUUACUGGACCAUUACUGACGCUGAGACACGAAAGCGUGGGGAGCAAACAGGAUUAGAUACCCUGGUA